UUUAAAUUGAUGGAAAUGAGAAACCCGAAAAUCCCUUUGAUAAAUCAAAAAAAUCUAAUGGUAGUCAUGUCAGAUUUAAUAAAGAAGAAGCAGAAAGAAGUAAUACGUUGGAAUAAAACCAGUGAAUACCAACGAAAUAAAUACGUUUGUGACGAGGACAUUCAUACGUGUUUUCGUAAUACACCAACUAAUAAAGAAAAUUAAAAAUACCAAAGGAAAAUUCUUCAGGCUGGCUUCAGGUGUUAAGGAAACAUCAAGAGAAGACUACAAAAAGUCGUCCCGAAAUUUUCACAACAUAUCUACGAGAAGGGAA